AUGUGUAGCAAUACACAUGUACAGUGGCGAACGGGUGAGGAUUACAUGGGUAACCUACCCUCGAGUGGGGAAUAACUAGCCGAAAGGUUAGCUAAUACCGCGUACGCUUCCCGGACUGCGGUUCGGGAAGGAAAGCGAUACCGUGGGUAUCGCGCUCUUGGAUGGGCUCAUGCCCUAUCAGCUUGUUGGUGAGGUAACGGCUCACCAAGGCUUCGACGGGUAGCUGAUCUGAGAGGAUGAUCAGCCACACUGGCACUGCGACACGGGCCAGACUCCUACGGGAGGCAGCAGUGGGGAAUAUUGGACAAUGGGGGAAACCCUGAUCCAGCCAUGCCGCGUGAGUGAUGAAGGCCCUAGGG
rnacentral:rRNA from 1 species